rnacentral:misc_RNA from 1 species
UUGCAUUCGCUCUCUCUCCCUCCAGAGGCACGCGAACACACCAAAGACCAACAACAACACAGGCGGCGCACACUUUUUUUUUCAGUUUUGUCGUGGGCUUCUAGAGAGAGCACUUCCUCCUCCUCCUUUGUUCGCAUCGAAGGCGAGCUGUACGACCAAGUACUCAACGUUACAUCAAAGACGCACCCUAGCGACCCUGCAAGCGCAUCGACACCAUUCGCCAGGAAACAACAAAAAAGACAUUUAAUCUUCUUUUUCGUCAGCAGGUACACACACCGCUACCUUAUUCUUUCUCUAACACACCGCAUGAUGCCCUUGUCGAUACACGCGAGGACGUUUGUUCCGUCGUCGACGACCUACUCGCCGUCUGGAGCUAACGAGCAGACUGUUCAUGCCGCUGACUCGAAGGACUGCGUUUGUAUCGCCUUCUACGAGAACGGCAAGUGCCCGUAUGGCUCUCACUGCGAGCACGCCCACCGCUUUUCGGAACUGAAUACAGAGACCCAAAUGAAAUUACUCCGGAGCGUGCCAGUGGAGUCCAUCCCGGCGCACUUCUUCGGCGCGUCUCACUCACGGGACGAGAUGCUAGCUGCCCUGAAUGCCGUGCUACCGAGGACAUUGACGGCAGAGUACGGCUGUUUUAGCCCCAUCCACAGGGGCGAGGCGGAGCGUACGGUCUCCACGCGUCGACGCCCCCCGGGAAAGGAUCGCCAACUGGUGGUGCCGUACAUUGGACCACAAUCACCGACUCUUAAUGCCGCCUCCCUUUCCAGUCGCACUUCUAGCAGCGCCGAGAGUCUUCACGUAGGUGGAAAACACCUGUCCAAGUGUUCGUCAUCUCCCACGGCUGCCGCUUUCGCCGCUGCUGCUGCUCCCACCGCCGCGGACGCUGCGGCCUUUAAGAUGCAUCUGCCGCUCCGGUGCCGCUACCCGCAUCGCUCGAUUCCAGGCACCUACUACGAUGUGCUGGCGCUUCCUCGUGACGCCUCGCAGGACGACAUCAUCGCUAAGUAUCGCUCUUGGCAAAAGGACGGCUUCAAGCGCAUGCGUCAGGUGGAUCCUGUUGGGGCGGAGGCGGUGGACCGCAUGAUCGUGGAGGCGCGCAACGUGCUGGGAAACCCCAUAUUGCGCUCCGACUACGAUCAGCAGCUGCCUUCGGCGCCAAUGAAGCAGCAGCCAUGGUCAGCCGCCUCGUGCGGCGCCGGCUUGACGAGUACGAGUACGACUCCAAGCAAGCACCACACUCAAGGACAGUCCUCCACGACGUCUUCUACAUCCGAGGUGCACCACAGGUUGGGGGAAUCGCACAAACUCCUCGGGCACAGCAGGAGCAACUCCAGCGUAUAUUACGCUGAUUAUGCGGCGCCUGUGGUGACCAUCUCCAGCCUGCACAAUGGAGAGAGCAUUUGGUAGUUGCGCGCUCUCUUUCCAGGUAACCGGUGCUUCGGUAUAGAUGCCUCCCCCCCCCCCCCCACCCCCUGCACGACCCCUUGAGUGCUGAGGGAGCGUGACCGCCACUUCCACGGCGAACGUGCACGGGAGACGAAGGGUGAAGCACGGAUGCGCUGGACGUCUGUGUGGUGGAGCAGAGCGUUGUGCGAAGGUGCAUUCACCGAACAGAGUAGUCAGAUCCUUGCCAGCUGAGCCGCCGCGUCAUCGAUGAUGUCUGAUCAAUGGCGGUCUGGCCUCCAGCGUCUCUUGCUCCGGUCCUGAUACGCUUCAUUUCGUGUUUAACACACGUCUUUCUAAAGACAGAAUCCCCUGUUACUCGUCUCCCGAUUUUUUCUUGUGCUUCUCUUCCCCUUCUUUGUGCGCACAUGCGUGCAGUGUAUCUAACCGAGUCGUUCUCUCUCACGUCGUCUUUGGGGCGUCUUUUUCUUCGCUUCAUCUUGAUGUUUACUUCCUUUUUCUGUCCGUGACGUGAUUUUACAUUCUCAGCGUCAACGACGAUUUCCUUUUUUUUCUUUCAGUGGGUUGUGCGCUGCAAUACCUGCUGUAUCUCCACAAAGAUGCACCAGCAUAUCGAUUGUCUCUUCCGUUCUCAUUUUGUGCACGGCGCUUUCGCUUUUCGACUUCAUUGUACGUCUGCAGACGCGCACACUCGUUUAUGCCUUCAGCGCUCCCCUUCCUCGUGCGCGCCUCGUCGUUCCAUCCCUCGUUUGAUUUCGCAUUUCCUAGAGUAUUUACCCAUCAUUUUUCUAUACAGGCACCCAUUCCACCAGCUGGUCUUCUCUUCCCUCCUUUUCCACUUUUUUUUGCUUCUGUUGUUUGUUUUGUUUCGAAUUAGAUGCACUUCUUUCGUUUCCCUCCCUCGGUCUCAGUCUAGGUCUGCCUUAUCCACCGUACCUUUCACAUCUGUAAACGCGCACGCGCGCCACCUUCACCCUUUUUCCCCCUUCGUACACUACCUCUUUCUUUUCUUUUAGGCGUGCCUCACUCUUGUUCUCGCGGUGUUCGGGCCACACACCGCAGUUUGUUCACUUGAGCUAAAUCUCCUACGAAGGUGAAACACGUCAAAACCGAUUAACGAGGGGGUGGGAAAAGAGGGGGCAACGCAGACAUCUUUUGACGCUCCGGGUCUGCGAGGGUCAUGCUCUUGCGAAAGAGGCGGGUCAUUUGCCUGUGGUCGCGCGGUGCAUGGAGAAGACGUCGAAUGGACGGCCUUGAAACUGCACUACGUGGCUGCUGCCAUCACCGAUGCUUCCCCCCCCCCUUUUGCCGCUGGCGUCGUCGCCGUCUCCUUUCUCCCCCUCCCCCUCCGUUGCCGCUUUCUAUGUAUCUCGACGCCUCCUCUUUUCUUUCCAUAUCCGUGUGUGCGUGUGUGUUUGUAUGCUUACUCCGUUUAG